UACGUAGGGUGCAAGCGUUAAUCGGAAUUACUGGGCGUAAAGCGUGCGCAGGCGGUUUUGUAAGUCUGUCGUGAAAUCCCCGGGCUCAACCUGGGAAUGGCGAUGGAGACUGCAAGGCUAGGGUUUGGCAGAGGGGGGUAGAAUUCCACGUGUAGCAGUGAAAUGCGUAGAUAUGUGGAGGAACACCGAUGGCGAAGGCAGCCCCUCGGUC
rnacentral:rRNA from 1 species